CGUAAGACUAGUGUUAGUCAUCUUAUUAGGUUAAGGGUACCUAGACGGUAAUUAACUCUAAAUGAGUACUUUACUAGAGUUUAUAAGAGAAGGAAGAAUUCUGGAGUAGCGAUAAAUACUCUUAUACCAGAAGGACUGGUAACAGCGAAGGCAUCCUUCUAAGUAAACUAGACGUUGAGGGACGAAGGCUUGGGUAGCAAUAAGGAUU
rnacentral:rRNA from 1 species